GCGGGACAGGAGGAGGAGGAGGAGGAUGGAGAGGGAGGGGCAGCCCCCCCAGGUGCCCCCCAGAGCCCCCCCCAAGGGCUGGGCCCCCCAGGCUGAGGUGGAAUAUCUGCACCCCCUGCACCCCGACGGCAAGAAAGCCACGGGGGUCCCGUUGCCCCCCACCUACAGCCCCCGGUACGUGGAGGCCGCCUGGUACCAGUGGUGGGAGAGGGGAGGGGUCUUCAAACCCCCCGAGCAGGUGAGAAGUGUGGGGGGGGGUAGAAUAUUCUCUUAUUUCCAGUUUUUAAUUUUUUAUUUUGAUUUUUAAUUUUAUUUAUUUAUUUAUUUGUUUAUAUUUUUUAUUCACGUUAGUUAAAUUAUAUUUAAUUUUUAUUUUU